rnacentral:piRNA from 3 species
GAUUUUUGGAACUAGGAGUUGGAA